rnacentral:rRNA from 1 species
CCCUUAGAUGUUCUGGGCCGCACGCGCGCUACACUGACGAAGUCAGCGAGCAUGUCCUACGCCGACAGGUGCGGGGAAUCUUGUCAAACUUCGUCGUGAUGGGGAUUGAUUAUUGAAAUUCUUGAUCAUCAACGAGGAAUUCCUAGUAAGCGCAAGUCAGCAGCUUGCGUUGAUUACGUCCCUGCCCUUUGUACACACCGCCCGUCACUACUACCGAUUGAAUGGUUUAGUGAGAUCUUCGGAUUGGCGCCACUGCGGCUCAGCAAUGGGCUCGGUGGAUGCCGAAAAGUUGAUCAAACUUGAUCAUUUAGAGGAAGUAAAAGUCGUAACA